AUGAACGCUGACAGAAUGCUUAACACAUGCAAGUCGAUUCGAUUUACUUUCGGGUAUUGAGGAUUUUUUACGGGCGAGUAACGCGUAAGGAACUUGCCUCUUGGACUGGGACAACUGUUGGAAACGACAGCUAAUACCGGAUAUUAUGAGAUUCUCGCAUGGGAAACUUAUGAAAGCUAUAUGCGCCAAGAGAGAGCCUUGCGUUCCAUUAGCUAGUUGGUGGGGUAAUGGCCCACCAAGGCGACGAUGGAUAGCCGGCCUGAGAGGGUGAACGGCCACAAGGGGACUGAGACACGGCCCUUACUCCUACGGGAGGCAGCAGUGGGGAAUAUUGGACAAUGGGCCACAACCCUGAUCCAGCAAUUCAGUGUGCACGAUGAAGGUUUUCGGAUCGUAAAGUGCUUUCAGUUGGGAAGAAGAAAGUGACGGUACCAACAGAAGAAGGGACGGCUAAAUACGUGCCAGCAGCCGCGGUAAUACGUAUGUCGCAAGCGUUAUCCGGAUCUAUUGGGCGUAAAGCGCGUCUAGGCGGAAAAAUAAGUCUGAUGUUAAAAUGCGGGGCUCAACUCCGUAUUGCGUUGGAAACUGUUUUUCUAGAGUACUGGAGAGGUGGGCGGAACUACAAGUGUAGAGGUGAAAUUCGUAGAUAUUUGUAGGAAUGCCGAUGGAGAAGUCAGCUCACUGGACAGAUACUGACGCUAAAGCGCGAAAGCGUGGGGAGCAAACAGGAUUAGAUACCCUGGUAGUCCACGCCGUAA
rnacentral:rRNA from 1 species